AGUUCAAUACAGUUAACUUAGGCUAUCUUUUGUUAGAGGCUGUGAAUGUGUGUAGGUUACAUGCUACGAUAUUCCACAUAUUUCCAACUGCUUGAAACGAAAGCGUAUUACUUUAUUGUCAGUGUUGUUUAGGCCCAGGUCGCUAUUACUUCGUUAGUCAACAACGUAACGUUAACGGAGUGGAAACAGCCGUUCUUUGCUAUUGUAGUGUAUUAUUUCUUUCUUUGUUCUUUAGUGGAGCUCGAGAUCCUGUUUACUGUGGACUAGCUGUGUGUGACGCCCUGUUUUUGUUUCCAUUAAAAAAAAAAAGGUAUGUCUGUGUUUUUUGGCAUAGUUAAUUGUAGAAAAAAAUAUAAAAUGAGGUGAUGUGAGUGGGAAAAAUUGCUGCACAUAUUAAGGAUCCUUUUUCUUGAUCUAUAUUUUUGUUAUUUGCUGAUGUAUAUAUUUUAUAUACUGUUUUUUAUUUAAUUAAUUUAUUAGAGACUAUUUUAUGCUUUAUUUAUCUUUUUUAUUAUUUUAUUUACUAUUUUUAUUAUUAUUUCCACAUGUAAGCAUAAAUAAUUGAUCAUAUUAGUACAUUGUUUGAUUGCUUUGCUUAAUCCAUUCCAUAAUUUAAUUCCACAUACUGAUAUACUGAAGGUCUUAAGUGUUGUACGUGCGUACAAAUGUUUUAAAUUACAUUUCUCUCUAAGAUUAUUUUUCUCCUCUUUUUUUGAGAGUAAUUGUUGUAUAUUCUUGGGUAGCAGGUUAUAGUUUGCUUUGUUUAUAAUUUUAGCUGUUUGCAAAUUCACUAUGUCAUGGAAUUUCAGUAUCUUUGAUUCAAUAAAUAAAGGAUUUGUAUGUUCUCUAUAUCCAACAUUAUGUAUUAUUCUAACUGAUCUUUUUUGUAACACAGUUAAUGAAUGAAGUGUACUUUUGUAAUUAUUUCCCCAUAUUUCUACACAAUAACUCAGAUAUGUAACACUAGUGAACAGUAGAGAAUAUGAAGUGGUUUUUUGUCUAGAACAUGGUUUGCUUUAUUUAUUAUUGACGUGUUUCUUGCUACUUUAUGUUGUAUAUUUUUUACUUGAGAUUUCCAGUUCAAUUUAUCAUCAUUCAUUAUACCUAGGAAUUUGGUUUCAUUUACUCUUUCAAUUUCUAUUCCGUCUAUUUGUAUUUGUGUUUGACUUUCUGUUACCAAAUAGCUUUAUUUUAGUUUUACUGAGAUUCAAAGAUAGUCUGUUUGUGUCAAACCAUCUUUUUAAUUUGUUAAUUUCUUCUGUUAUUAUUUGUAUUAUCUUCUGUGUGUUCUCUCCUGAACAAAACGCUGUUGUAUCAUCCGCAAAUAAUACUAACUUUAAAUCUUUUGUAACUUUACAAAUGUAAUUUAUCUAGACAUUGAAUAAUUUAGGUCCUAUAUUGAUCCCUGAGGUACACCACAGGAUAUAUUUAGCGUUGUAGACGUGUGUUCGCCUAGCUUCACGUAUUGUUUCCUGUUCGUUAGAUAACUUCUUAUCCAGUUUAAGACUAACCCUCUGAUGCCAUAUCGUUCUAGUUUUUUGAUUAAAAUAUUGUGAUUAAUUGUGUCAAAUGCUUUAGUUGGAUCCAUAAAAACUGCUGCCGCACAUUUUUUACUAUCUAUUGCAUUGGUAAUUUCUUCUGUAAUUUCAAUUAAAGCCAUUGAAGUUGAAACAUUAGCUCUGUAUCCAUAUUGGUUCUCUUCGAGUAUUCUAUUUUUAUUUAUGAAACUCUCUAAUCUGUUAUUGAACAGUUUUUCAAUGAUUUUAGAAAAUCGUGGAAGUAAAGAAACAGGUCUAUAAUUUGUAAAUUAAAGUUUGUCUCCAGUCUUAUAAAUUGGUGCAACUUUAGCUAUUUUCAUUUUGUUUGGAAAUGUACCUGUUUGAAAUGAUAGGUUACUAAUAUACAUCAAUGGUCCUGAGAUCUCUUCAAUAACCUUUUUUAUCGUUUCCAUAUCAAUUCCGUUACAAUCAGUUGAAGUCUUAGAUUUAAACAUUUUUCACGAUUGUAACUAUUUCCUCCUGUGUCACAAUACUGAGGAACAUGGAGUUGGGAUUUGCAAUCUGAGGCAGAGAAUGAGGAGCUGUCAGAAAAAAGGAACAGGAAGCCAGUCCAUCAUCUCGGGGACUCUGAUGAUAGCGAGGAAGACCUGGGAAAUGGUGACCUCGCAUCUUUGGAGUUGGCAAGCCAAUUGCACAGGCAGACUCCACCGUCUCGCCGAGUGCCAGCAAGAGUCUUGAGUACUUGUCAACUCGACUCCUCAACUGGAGAUAACUUUCUAGCACCUCACCAUGGGGAAGGACGCAUUCAUAUGCCUUCACCAGCACCUGCAUUAAACAUGCAGAGAGUUACACAAGGAACGGCAGUCCCUCCUCGACUCCCUCCACCCCCUCACCAGCAGCCCUCAACAUGUGGCAGACAGAGGAGCCCGGAUCCAGCCUGACCUACAGGCCAACAUGGCGAGGGGGAAGAAUGGCCGACAACAUUUCCUGCUCUGCGCCUGAGGUAAUCCAGAUCCUUAGCCUGCUGGAAACUAUUAAGCACAACCAAGACCAGCUGAUUGCGAAGGUGCUGUGAGUAAAAAUGUGUUGACAAGGUCAGCCACGGACGCUGAGGUCACCAAACACGCCAUCAGGUGGUUCAACUUGGCGGGGGAUCGGGCAACGAGGAGACGAGUCCCGCUUCCACCUCCUCAGGAGGAAUAGAGAUGUAUAUGUAUAAAUAAACAACCUUUUAUUGGACUUCUUGUCAUUCAC